AUUGUUUGCUUUAUAAAUUUUGUAAAUAUUAGAAACUUGAGAUUUAUUUUAUAUGAUGUUCCAUUCUAGUUUUUCUCCUCAGGGACUUUUCUAGUGUAGAAAUUUCAUCUAAGAAAAUGACUGUAAUUGUAAACAAAUAGGAUCAUUAACCCUUUUGUUACUAUAUUUCUUAUCAAAAUACUCUCCUUAUGUGUUUCAAUGAAAUUCUAAAUUAUUAUCAAUAUAUUGAUUUUAGGAAUGUAAUUCAACUAACGGUUAUUAACCAAAUCUGUUUCAUAAUUUUUAUCUCAAAGUGAAUCUAAUUACAGGUAAAUUCAACAAAAUAAAAAAUUAUUAAAACUUUUGUUCAAACAUCGCUAUAGAAAAUGGGUUAUUAGCUAAUAUUCAAUUGGGUAUACACCAAAAUUUUACCAUAGAAGAGUUGUGCACAUUACUGGAUUCAAGACAGGUGUACCAUGAGGGUGUAAGUAAAACAAAAGACUGGAAUUUGUCUGUGAAGAAAACUAGAAAACAAAAUACACACACCAUCAACUAGAUUAAAUAAGCUCUCCCACAUACAUUAGAUACAAUAAUGAUUU